rnacentral:rRNA from 1 species
AUUGAACGCUGGCGGCAGGCCUAACACAUGCAAGUCGAGCGGUAGAGAGGAGCUUGCUCCUCUUGAGAGCGGCGGACGGGUGAGUAAUGCCUAGGAAUCUGCCUGGUAGUGGGGGAUAACGUUCGGAAACGGACGCUAAUACCGCAUACGUCCUACGGGAGAAAGCAGGGGACCUUCGGGCCUUGCGCUAUCAGAUGAGCCUAGGUCGGAUUAGCUAGUUGGUGAGGUAAUGGCUCACCAAGGCGACGAUCCGUAACUGGUCUGAGAGGAUGAUCAGUCACACUGGAACUGAGACACGGUCCAGACUCCUACGGGAGGCAGCAGUGGGGAAUAUUGGACAAUGGGCGAAAGCCUGAUCCAGCCAUGCCGCGUGUGUGAAGAAGGUCUUCGGAUUGUAAAGCACUUUAAGUUGGGAGGAAGGGCGGUAAAUUAAUACUUUGCUGUUUUGACGUACCGACAGAAUAAG